ACGGAAGGCAGCAGUGGGGAAUAUUGCACAAUGGGGGAAACCCUGAUGCAGCGACGCCGCGUGAGUGAAGAAGUAUUUCGGUAUGUAAAGCUCUAUCAGCAGGGAAGAAAAUGACGGUACCUGACUAAGAAGCCCCGGCUAACUACGUGCCAGCAGCCGCGGUAAUACGUAGGGGGCAAGCGUUAUCCGGAUUUACUGGGUGUAAAGGGUGCGUAGGUGGUAUGGCAAGUCAGAAGUGAAAACUAUGGGCUCAACCCAUAGACUGCUUUUGAAACUGUCAAACUAGAGUGCAGGAGAGGAAAGAAGAAUUCCUAGUGUAGCGGUGAAAUGCGUAGAUAUUAGGAGGAAUACCAGUGGCGAAGGCGUCUUUCUGGACUGUUACUGACACUGAGGCACGAAAGCGUGGGGAGCAAACAGGAUUAGAUACCCUGGUA
rnacentral:rRNA from 1 species